rnacentral:rRNA from 1 species
AUUGAACGCUGGCGGCAUGCUUUACACAUGCAAGUCGAACGGUAACAGGCCUUCGGGUGCUGACGAGUGGCGAACGGGUGAGUAAUGCAUCGGAACGUACCCAGAGGUGGGGGAUAACGCAGCGAAAGCUGUGCUAAUACCGCAUGUGAUCUGAGGAUGAAAGCGGGGGACCGAGCAGCAAUGUUUGGCCUCGCGCCUUUGGAGCGGCCGAUGUCGGAUUAGCUAGUUGGUGGGGUAAAGGCCUACCAAGGCGACGAUCCGUAGCUGGUCUGAGAGGGCGACCAGCCACACUGGGACUGAGACACGGCCCAGACUCCUACGGGAGGCAGCAGUGGGGAAUUUUGGACAAUGGGCGCAAGCCUGAUCCAGCAAUGCCGCGUGCGGGAAGAAGGCCUUCGGGUUGUAAACCGCUUUUGGCAGGAACGAAACGGUGUCCGCUAAUACCGGGCGCUAAUGACGGUACCUGCAGAAUAAGCACCGGCUAACUACGUG